rnacentral:rRNA from 1 species
CGUAGGGCGCGAGCGUUGUCCGGAUUUAUUGGGCGUAAAGAGCUCGUAGGCGGCUUGUUGCGUCAGCUGUGAAAACCCGCAGCUCAACUGUGGGCUUGCAGCUGAUACGGGGCAGGCUUGAGUUCGGUAGGGGAGACUGGAAUUCCUGGUGUAGCGGUGAAAUGCGCAGAUAUCAGGAGGAACACCGGUGGCGAAGGCGGGUCUCUGGGCCGAUACUGACGCUGAGGAGCGAAAGCGUGGGGAGCGAACAGGAUUAGAUACCCUGGUAGUCCACGCUGUAAACGUUGGGCGCUAGGUGUGGGGGGCCUCUCCGGUUCUCUGUGCCGCAGCUAACGCAUUAAGCGCCCCGCCUGGGGAGUACGGCCGCAAGGCUA